GCUGAGCUGUGAUGGGGAAGCUCCUUAUGGAGCGAAGUCUUUGAUUCCCCGCUGCCAAGAAAAGCUUCUAGCGAGAUAAAAGGUGCCUGUACCGCAAACCGACACAGGUAGGCGAGGAGAGAAUCCUAAGGUGUGCGAGAGAACUCUGGUUAAGGAACUCGGCAAAAUGACCCCGUAACUUCGGGAGAAGGGGUGCUUUCUUAACGGAAAGCCGCAGUGAAUAGGCCCAAGCGACUGUUUAGCAAAAACACAG
rnacentral:rRNA from 1 species